UACAGAGGGUGCGAGCGUUGUUCGGAAUUAUUGGGCGUAAAGGGCGCGUAGGCGGUGCGGUAAGUCACCUGUGAAAUCUCCUGGCUCAACUGGGAGCUUGCAGGCGAAACUGCCGUGCUGGAGUGUGGGAGAGGCGCGUGGAAUUCCCGGUGUAGCGGUGAAAUGCGUAGAUAUCAGGAGGAACACCGGUGGCGAAGGCGGGUCUCUGGGCAACAACUGACGCUGAGGAGCGAAAGCGUGGGGAGCGAACAGG
rnacentral:rRNA from 1 species